GAUCAUUAUCGAAAAGCAAUCCGGGGGGGAGGCGACCGAGCGAAGUUUGGUAGAUCGUAGGGAUUGUCGCUGGCCUUUGGAAACGAAGGCAUGUGCACGUUCCGAGUUCUCCUUAGUCCUCCUUUGCCUUUCCUUUGGAAAACCCUUUCUUCACACCCGUGCACCCAUUGUAGGUCUCCGCGAGGGGAUCUAUGUCUUCACAUAAACACUACGUAUGUCUAGGAAUGUAUCUAAAAGCGUCGGACGGCUUGGCUUCGUGCCCGGUCGGCGACGGUAAAGAACCAUAAUACAACUUUCAGCAACGGAUCUCUUGGCUCUCGCAUCGAUGAAGAACGCAGCGAAUUGCGAUAAGUAAUGUGAAUUGCAGAUUUUCAGUGAAUCAUCGAAUCUUUGAACGCACCUUGCGCUCCUUGGUAUUCCGAGGAGCAUGCCUGUUUGAGUGUCAUUUAAUUCUCAACCAUCCCUCGAUUCGUUUCGAGGGUUUGGCUUG
rnacentral:misc_RNA from 1 species